UCUAUCAUCUUGUGGCUGCAUAUCCUAUG
rnacentral:piRNA from 1 species